rnacentral:rRNA from 1 species
GACGAACGCUGGCGGCGUGCCUAAUACAUGCAAGUAGAACGCUGAAGGAGGAGCUUGCUUCUCUGGAUGAGUUGCGAACGGGUGAGUAACGCGUAGGUAACCUGCCUGGUAGUGGGGGAUAACUAUUGGAAACGAUAGCUAAUACCGCAUAAUAGCAGUUGUUGCAUGAUAACUGUUUGAAAGGUGCAAUUGCACCGCUACCAGAUGGACCUGCGUUGUAUUAGCUAGUUGGUGGGGUAACGGCUCACCAAGGCGACGAUACAUAGCCGACCUGAGAGGGUGAUCGGCCACACUGGGACUGAGACACGGCCCAGACUCCUACGGGAGGCAGCAGUAGGGAAUCUUCGGCAAUGGACGGAAGUCUGACCGAGCAACGCCGCGUGAGUGAAGAAGGUUUUCGGAUCGUAAAGCUCUGUUGUAAGAGAAGAACGAGUGUGAGAGUGGAAAGUUCACACUGUGACGGUAGCUUACCAGAAAGGGACGGCUAACUACGUG